UACGUAGGGUGCGAGCGUUAAUCGGAAUUACUGGGCGUAAAGUGUGCGCAGGCGGCGUCGCAAGUCGAGUGUGAAAGCCCCGAGCUUAACUUGGGAAUUGCGCUCGAAACUACGGUGCUGGAGUAUGGCAGAGGAAGGUGGAAUUCCACGUGUAGCGGUGAAAUGCGCAGAUAUCAGGAGGAACACCGGUGGCGAAGGCGGGUCUCUGGGCCGAUACUGACGCUGAGGAGCGAAAGCGUGGGGAGCGAACAGG
rnacentral:rRNA from 1 species